rnacentral:rRNA from 1 species
CCUACGGGAGGCAGCAGUGAGGAAUAUUGGACAAUGGGCGCAAGCCUGAUCCAGCCAUGCCGCGUGCAGGAAGACGGUCCUAUGGAUUGUAAACUGCUUUUGUACAGGAAGAAACACUCCCUCGUGAGGGAGCUUGACGGUACUGUAAGAAUAAGGAUCGGCUAACUCCGUGCCAGCAGCCGCGGUAAUACGGAGGAUCCAAGCGUUAUCCGGAAUCAUUGGGUUUAAAGGGUCCGUAGGCGGUUUAAUAAGUCAGUGGUGAAAUCUGGUCGCUCAACGAUCAAACGGCCAUUGAUACUGUUAGACUUGAAUUAUUAGGAAGUAACUAGAAUAUGUAGUGUAGCGGUGAAAUGCUUAGAUAUUACAUGGAAUACCAAUUGCGAAGGCAGGUUACUACUAAUGGAUUGACGCUGAUGGACGAAAGCGUGGGGAGCGAACAGGAUUAGAUACCCUGGUAGUCCACGCCGUAAACGAUGGAUACUAGCUGUUCGGAGCAAUCUGAGUGGCUAAGCGAAAGUGAUAAGUAUCCCACCUGGGGAGUACGUUCGCAAGAAUGAAAACUCAAAAGAUAGUACGGCGNGAGAGAGACGACGACGGACGACGAGGGAGGAGGAG